AUUGAACGCUGGCGGCAUGCUUUACACAUGCCAGUCGAACGGCAGCGCGGGCUUCGGCCUGGCGGCGAGUGGCGAACGGGUGAGUAAUACAUCGGAACGUGCCCAGUAGUGGGGGAUAGCUCGGCGAAAGCCGGAUUAAUACCGCAUACGACCUGAGGGUGAAAGCGGGGGAUCUUCGGACCUCGCGCUAUUGGGGCGGCCGAUGGCGGAGUAGCUAGUUGGUGGGGUAAAGGCCUACCAAGGCGACGAUCUGUAGCUGGUCUGAGAGGACGACCAGCCACACUGGGACUGAGACACGGCCCAGACUCCUACGGGAGGCAGCAGUGGGGAAUUUUGGACAAUGGGCGAAAGCCUGAUCCAGCAAUGCCGCGUGUGUGAUGAAGGCCUUCGGGUUGUAAAGCACUUUUGGCGGGAACGAAAAGGACUGUGCCAAUACCACGGUUCGAUGACGGUACCCGCAGAAUAAGCACCGGCUAACUACGUG
rnacentral:rRNA from 1 species